UACGUAGGUGGCAAGCGUUAUCCGGAUUUACUGGGUGUAAAGGGCGUGUAGGCGGGACUGCAAGUCAGAUGUGAAAACCACGGGCUCAACCUGUGGCCUGCAUUUGAAACUGUAGUUCUUGAGUACUGGAGAGGCAGACGGAAUUCCUAGUGUAGCGGUGAAAUGCGUAGAUAUUAGGAGGAACACCAGCGGCGAAGGCGGUCUGCUGGACAGCAACUGACGCUGAGGCGCGAAAGCGUGGGGAGCAAACAGG
rnacentral:rRNA from 1 species